rnacentral:rRNA from 1 species
UAGGGAAUCUUCCGCAAUGGGCGAAAGCCUGACGGAGCAACGCCGCGUGAGUGAUGAAGGUCUUCGGAUCGUAAAACUCUGUUAUUAGGGAAGAACAAAUGUGUAAGUAACUAUGCACGUCUUGACGGUACCUAAUCAGAAAGCCACGGCUAACUACGUGCCAGCAGCCGCGGUAAUACGUAGGUGGCAAGCGUUAUCCGGAAUUAUUGGGCGUAAAGCGCGCGUAGGCGGUUUUUUAAGUCUGAUGUGAAAGCCCACGGCUCAACCGUGGAGGGUCAUUGGAAACUGGAAAACUUGAGUGCAGAAGAGGAAAGUGGAAAUCCAUGUGUAGCGGUGAAAUGCGCAGAGAUAUGGGGGAACACCAGUGGCGAAGGCGACUUUCUGGUCUGUAACUGACGCUGAUGUGAGAAAGCGUGGGGAUCAAACAGG